rnacentral:rRNA from 1 species
UACGAAGGGGGCUAGCGUUGCUCGGAAUCACUGGGCGUAAAGGGCGCGUAGGCGGGUCUUUAAGUCAGGGGUGAAAUCCUGGAGCUCAACUCCAGAACUGCCUUUGAUACUGAAGAUCUUGAGUUCGGGAGAGGUGAGUGGAACUGCGAGUGUAGAGGUGAAAUUCGUAGAUAUUCGCAAGAACACCAGUGGCGAAGGCGGCUCACUGGCCCGAUACUGACGCUGAUGCACGAAAGCGUGGGGAGCAAACAGG